GAUGAAGAACGCAGCGAAAUGCGAUACGUAAUGUAAUUGCAGAAUUCAGUGAAUCAUCGAGUCUUUGAACGCACAUUGCGCCCCCUGGUAUUCCGGGGGGCAUGCCUGUCCGAGCGUCAUUGCUGCCCUCAAGCACGGCUUGUGUGUUGGGCCUCCGUCCUCCUCCCGGGGGACGGGCCCGAAAGGCAGCGGCGGCACCGCGUCCGGUCCUCGAGCGUAUGGGGCUUCGUCACCCGCUCUUGUAGGCCCGGCCGGCGCUUGCCGACACAUCAAUCUUUUUUCCAGGUUGACCUCGGAUCAGGUAGGGAUACCCGCUGAACUUAAGCAUAUCAAUAAGCGGAGGA
rnacentral:misc_RNA from 1 species